CAGAAACAACAGGAGGAAAUUAAUCAAGGAAGCCAAUAUACCUCACCUAAAAGGAACUUGAUUGCAUAUAAUCCUACGGCGCAAAUAUACCUCACCUGGAAAAAACUUGAUUGCCCUUUGAUCCCACAGCAAAAAUUUUGCAGAAAAUGAAGCCUUUGAGACCUAAUUUUUGUCGACUGCUGUUCAGUUAUGCCGGCUUAAUAGCAGAGAAGUGGAUCUCUUAGUAAUAGGGCAUGUGGUAGACA
rnacentral:lncRNA from 1 species